rnacentral:rRNA from 1 species
GCGUUGUCCGGAUUCAUUGGGCGUAAAGAGCUUGUAGGCGGCUUAGCAAGUCGGGUGUGAAAACUCCAGGCUCAACCUGGAGCGGCCAUUCGAUACUGCUAUGGCUUGAGUUUGGCAGGGGAUCACGGAAUUCCUGGUGUAGCGGUGAAAUGCGCAGAUAUCAGGAAGAACACCGGUGGCGAAGGCGGUGAUCUGGGCCAAUACUGACGCUGAGGAGCGAAAGCGU